rnacentral:tRNA from 1 species
GACUUGGUAGCUCAGUGGUAGAGUGCAUGCUUUGUAUGUAUGAUCUCCUGAGUUCAAUCCCCAGCUGCUCCC